rnacentral:rRNA from 1 species
GACGAACGCUGGCGGCGUGCUUAACACAUGCAAGUCGAACGGUAAGGCCCCUUCGGGGGUACACGAGUGGCGAACGGGUGAGUAACACGUGGGUGACCUGCCCUGCACUCUGGGAUAAGCCUGGGAAACUGGGUCUAAUACCGGAUAUGAGCUCCUGUCGCAUGGCGGGGGUUGGAAAGGUUUACUGGUGCAGGAUGGGCCCGCGGCCUAUCAGCUUGUUGGUGGGGUAAUGGCCUACCAAGGCGACGACGGGUAGCCGGCCUGAGAGGGCGACCGGCCACACUGGGACUGAGACACGGCCCAGACUCCUACGGGAGGCAGCAGUGGGGAAUAUUGCACAAUGGGCGAAAGCCUGAUGCAGCGACGCCGCGUGAGGGAUGACGGCCUUCGGGUUGUAAACCUCUUUCAGCAGGGACGAAGCGAGAGUGACGGUACCUGCAGAAGAAGCACCGGCCAACUACGUGCCAGCAGCCGCCGUAAAAC